rnacentral:rRNA from 1 species
AGAGUUUGAUCCUGGCUCAGGAUGAACGCUAGCGGCAGGCUUAAUACAUGCAAGUCGAGGGGGCAGCAAUGUCACCGGCGAACGGGUGCGUAACGCGUAUGCAACCUGGCCAUAUCAGGGGGAUAGCCCUAGGAAACUGGGAUUGAUACCGCAUAACAUAAACUUCGGCAUCGGGGUUUAUUGAAAGAUUUAUCGGAUAUGGAUGGGCAUGCGUAGGAUUAGUUAGUUGGUGAGGUAACGGCUUACCAAGACGAUGAUCCUUAGGGGCUCUGAGAGGAGUAUCCCCCACACUGGCACUGAGAUACGGGCCAGACUCCUACGGGAGGCAGCAGUAGGGAAUAUUGGGCAAUGGAGGCAACUCUGACCCAGCCAUGCCGCGUGCAGGAAGACGGUCCUCUGGAUUGUAAACUGCUUUUGAAUGGGAAGAACACCACCCUUGCGAGGGUGAUUGACGGUACUAUUAGAAUAAGCACCGGCUAACUCCGUGCCAGCAGCCGCGGUAAUACGGAGGGUGCAAGCGUUAUCCGGAUUUAUUGGGUUUAAAGGGUGCGUAGGCGGCUUUAUAAGUCUGGGGUUAAAGGCAGCAGCUCAACUGUAUGCAUGCCCUGGAAACUGUGAAGCUUGAGUGACUUGGAGGUAGCUGGAAUUCCCUGUGUAGCGGUGAAAUGCAUAGAUACGGGGAGGAAUACCGAUUGCGAAGGCAUGUUACUACGAGUAAACUGACGCUGAUGCACGAAAGCGUGGGGAUCAAACAGGAUUAGAUACCCUGGUAGUCCACGCCGUAAACGAUGAUUACUAGUUGUUGGUCGAUAGAUCAGUGACCAAGGGAAACCGAUAAGUAAUCCACCUGGGGAGUACGCCGGCAACGGUGAAACUCAAAUGAAUUGACGG